rnacentral:rRNA from 1 species
UACGAAGGGUGCUAGCGUUGUUCGGAAUCACUGGGCGUAAAGCGCACGUAGGCGGAUUUGUUAGUCAGGGGUGAAAUCCCGGGGCUCAACCUCGGAACUGCCUUUGAUACUGCAAAUCUCGAGUCCGGAAGAGGUGAGCUGAAUUCCUAGUGUAGAGGUGAAAUUCGUAGAUAUUAGGAAGAACACCAGUGGCGAAGGCGGCUCACUGGUCCGGUACUGACGCUGAGGUGCGAAAGCGUGGGGAGCAAACAGG